AAGCAACCAUAGGCAGCCUUCAGUUCUCAUGUGGAGAACAAUAAAUCCCCCUGAAGGCUCCAACAGUUCUGCUGCUGACAACAAUCAGAACACUAAAUCCCCUCGAAGGCUCAAACAGUUCUCCUAUGAGAACACGAAAUCCCCUCAAAGGCUCAAACAGUUCUCCUAUGAGAACACGAAAUCCCCUCGAAGGCUCAAACAGUUCUCUUAUGAGAACACCAAAUCCCCUUAAAAGCUCAAACAGUUCUUGACGAUACCAGCAGAGGUCGCAAUCGAUCGUUGCGAUCGGUUUGACGUUUCAAUUUCACGAAAAUUCCUGAAACAACAACAACGUCGGUUGCAUCUGCGCUUGUUAAAACAAGUGAAAAAACGUUUAAAUUAGUGAAAAAGUGUAGUGUAAAAUAAGUGAAACAGUAGUGUACCAUCGUAGUAAGCUGAGGUAAGUGUAGUUCACCGAAAAUACGUGUUUGUUUUUUGUCCGCCGCAGCAUCCGCAGCAUCGUGAUCGUGACGCAGUUACUGAUAUUAUAAAGGAACACCGGAUGAUAAGAAAGGCUUUGGGAUGAGGAUGCCCAUAAUUCCAUAUUAAACUUUGACGAGAAUGUGUCGUGUCGUGCCGAGUUGCCAAGUACUGUAACCUGCAUCUGCCGACCUUUCUGCGCUCAGUGACCCGUACGGGGGGGAGAAGACCUUCGAGCAGGCACUGAAGGAUGCGCUUAACUUUCGAACGAAGUGAAGUGAUCGAUUGAAUGAUUUGUGCAGCAACGACAGCAACCGUGAUGAGUGAUAACCGUGCCGAAACAACCGACCGUAUAUCAGCAACAGUACAGAAAUCUGCGGCCGAAAACCGAGCAUCAGUAGUAAGAUUGUAGAGUUUCGACUUGUUGCCCAGAGGGCUUGAUGAUGUGGCUGCGAGCGUGAUGAUCGACAGCAUCAAGUACUAUAAAGCGGUCAACGAGCUGAACAUCACCGACACACUGCAGAUGACGAGCUAAACGGCGAAGGCUUGUAUGGCGCCACCGAAGGCGAAGCAUCCUACCAACUUGCCAUACGAUCCCUUGGUGCAAAAGUGACGAAACACUGCCUGCUGCUUCAGCAGGAUAACUUUCCACAGCUUGCAAGCCGUCUAGCACCGGGAGAUGCACAGAACGGGGCGCUCCAUGGGAAGGUUGUCGAUGAUCUGAGCCGCUCAUCAACACCGACUACGAUGCUAGCGAUCUAUCUACAACCAUUAACAUCAACAUGAACAACAGCAUCAUCAUCGGGCGCAAUAGCAGCAUUCGGUACAUCAUGUGCAGUAGACACAGCAGCCGGUGCAAGUACCUCAUCCGAUGAUACGUGGAGUACUAGUCACCGGUACGCAGAAUGGUGGAGGUGAAGGAUGCGAACCUUUCCUUUCGACCUUUCGAACAAAGAUGCUCCGUUGCCAGCCGGUACGUGAAUGGUGCCGGUGGUAUGCCGAAGGAAAUCGCCGGUCGUUGAGUGGAGUGCGGAGACGAUAGAGGACGUCAAUGCGACUACAGCGAUGCUUGCCCUGAAGCAUGGACCGAAAAUUGUCAUCGAAAACUCCUUCCGUAAUGGCACGCCAACGGCUAUUACGACAUCAACGCGGCGCGGGAGAACGAUCGACUACGGGCCUGAUCUUCAAUAGGGGGGCCCCCUCUGCUGAUCGGGAAUGGUAGCAGCUGCUGCUCGUCAUCCGACGAACGAAUCCACAAUGAAUUGCUGCGGCAUACACUGACGCAUCAUCCGCUCCAUCACCACCACCAUUCUAAUCAGCAUCACAGUGAGGUUCAGCAACGGUACCUCAUCGGAUGCUGCUUACGAAAACAGCGAGUAAAGCCUCCAUCCACAUCAUGCAUCGGCCAAGGAUAUGUGCUCUCCUCCCCAGCCUCGUUGAACGGUUCGUUAAAGCGAUCAGAACCGAACGAUUCGUACAGUGGGACCCCGACCGAUUACCAUCAUCACCAUCACCACCGUAAUCGACAGCAAUUCGUUGCAUCAUCGGAUGAACGGACAAUGCAGAUAGCAAACGGUGCCGGCACUCCUCGACCCUACCAUCCGCACAACCUCGGCACGGAGUACGGUGGCCAAGCACCACUGUCACUGCCAGGUACGGUUACACGGUGACCCCAUACUAAUACCAAAGCCCGCUCCGGAAAGGGGCGCACGGCAUCGCGGAGAUAAGAGGGUGAUUUUUAUGGCUAAAUUAGUGUAAUUUAUUUAUAAUUUUAAAAAAUCAUAAUUUUUUCAAAUAAAAUUUGGUGCUAUACA